rnacentral:lncRNA from 1 species
GGCAGUAGAUGGAAGAAUCUGUGCUGAUGUUGGAGUUUCUUGAUGCUGUGUGACUUCCUCCAUCCUUGGUUGCUCCUAGCAUUCAAAAAGGAGGAAUAUUACUCAAGAUGGAAACCAAUAAAUAUUUAUGUUUGAAAUUUAGCACAAGAACUUAACAAAUAAACUGCUUUUGCUUCUGAUUUUGAUACAUUAUAAUAGGUCUCCUCUUAUAUAUCUCCUUCUGAUAGUGUCCACAAGCUACUAUGCAUGGAUGGAGAUCCUGUGCUGAUUUCAACAAGAAGGUGCUCAAUGCUUUAGCUUAAUUAGAAGAAG